rnacentral:rRNA from 1 species
GGUUGAUCCUGCCAGUAGUCAUAUGCUUGUCUCAAAGAUUAAGCCAUGCAUGUCUAAGUAUAAAUGACUUUGUACAGUGAAACUGCGAAUGGCUCAUUAAAUCAGUUAUAGUUUAUUUGAUGGUACCUUGCUACAUGGAUAACUGUGGUAAUUCUAGAGCUAAUACAUGCAUUAAAGCCCCGACUUCUGGGAGGGGUGUAUUUAUUAGAUAAAAAACCAACGCGGCUUGCCGCUCACUUGGUGAUUCAUAAUAACUGCUCGAAUCGCAUGGCCUUGCGCC